rnacentral:rRNA from 2 species
CAAGCAGCGAGCAUGUGGUUUAAUUCGAAGCAACGCGAAGAACCUUACCAGGGCUUGACAUCCCUCUGACAGUCCCUUAACCGGGACCUUCUUCGGACAGAGGAGACAGGUGGUGCAUGGUUGUCGUCAGCUCGUGUCGUGAGAUGUUGGGUUAAGUCCCGCAACGAGCGCAACCCUUGUCUUUAGUUGCCAUCAUUCAGUUGGGCACUCUAGAGAGACUGCCGAGGACAACUCGGAGGAAGGUGGGGAUGACGUCAAAUCAUCAUGCCCCUUAUGUCCUGGGCUACACACGUGCUACAAUGGCUGGUACAAAGAGACGCAAGACCGCGAGGUGGAGCAAAUCUCAAAAACCAGUCCCAGUUCGGAUUGCAGGCUGCAACUCGCCUGCAUGAAGUCGGAGUUGCUAGUAAUCGCAGAUCAGAAUGCUGCGGUGAAUGCGUUCCCGGGUCUU